AUGUAUAAUAUUCAUCCAUGGAUGGAUGGAUCAGAUGGGGCAAGUGAAGUUGGCGGGGCACUUCUUGCCGCACUGGUUGAGGAGGAGGGUCAGAUCGAUGGGCACGUUGAGCUUGAUGCCGAGAAUGUUGGCCCUGAUGGCGGUGCAGAGGCACACCGCGGCGUCGAGGUCGGCGAGCCCGCCCAGGAGCGGGCAACACUCCUCGUUCGCCGGCACGCCGAUCUUAAGCUUCAGCAGGUUCAACACGUUGGCGCACACACCCAGCUUCAGCGUGUUGAUCGGGCAGCUGCCCCCGCCGGUCGGUGGCACGAUUGGCGGUGGGCGGAUCGGCGGGGUAGGGACUACCGGUGGGCAGUAGGGUCCGCAGCCCUGCACGGUGGCGAGGAGGACCAGGUUCAGGGCGAGGAAAAGAGCAAGCUUGGAGGGCGCCAUUGCUCUUACUGGUUUGUGGCUAAGCUUGGUAGGCUUUGCUAG
rnacentral:rRNA from 1 species